CGCAGCGACAAAGGAGGAGAAAAUGUUGAAGUUGCUCGAUAUAUGCUAGAGCAUCCCGAACGAGGAGCAGAAAGAAAAAGUUUUAUCACUGGACGCAGUGUACAUAACCAAAGAAUCGAGAGGCUCUGGAGAGAUGUUUGGUGUGUUGUCACUGUGAACUACCGAUCUGCACUACAAUAUCUGGCUGACACUGCAGCUUUAAAUCCGGAUAGUGAACUGGAUUUGGCUUGCAUUCAUUUUGUAAUGCUACCCAGAAUAAACCGGCAUUUAGAGCUUUUUUCUGCAGCUUGGGACAGACAUUCACUUUCGACAGAGCAAGGUCGAUCACCUCAACAAUUGUGGAUUAGGGGUCAAUUAAUGGCGAACACUUCCAUACCAGAUCCUUCAAGCGAGCAGAUUGAUGAAAAUCGUUAUGGAGUUGACUGGCAAGGACCAACCCCAUUGGAAACAGAAGAGACAGUGAUAGUUCCUGACACACCGGAAAACGUCAGGAGACAGGUUCACAUGCUCCUUCAGGAACGAAUUGACCCACUGAGGGACAGUGAGUGCUUUGGAAUGGACAUCUGUUUGGAGGCCUUGCAGUUGGCGAGGCAAACAUUCCCAGAGUUUUCAUAAUUUUGAAUUC